rnacentral:rRNA from 1 species
GAUGAACGCUGGCGGCGUGCCUAAUACAUGCAAGUCGAGCGAACAGACGAGGAGCUUGCUCCUCUGACGUUAGCGGCGGACGGGUGAGUAACACGUGGAUAACCUACCUAUAAGACUGGGAUAACUUCGGGAAACCGGAGCUAAUACCGGAUAAUAUAUUGAACCGCAUGGUUCAAUAGUGAAAGACGGUUUUGCUGUCACUUAUAGAUGGAUCCGCGCCGCAUUAGCUAGUUGGUAAGGUAACGGCUUACCAAGGCAACGAUGCGUAGCCGACCUGAGAGGGGGAUCGGCAACACGGGACGUGAGCCCCGGUCCAGGCCCCUACGGGAGGCAGCAGUAGGGAAUUUUCCGCAAUGGGCGAAAGCCGGACGGAGCAACGCCGCGUGAGUGAUGAAGGUCUUCGGAUCGAAAAACUUUGUUAUUAGGGAAAAACAAAUGUGAAAGAAACUAUGCACGUCUUGACGGUACCUAAUAAGAAAGCCCCGGCUAACUACGUG